UGUCGGUUAGCUCAAUGGUAGAGCUCCAGGCUGCACGUCUGGAAGUCACAGGUUCGAAUCCUGUACCGAAAA
rnacentral:tRNA from 1 species